rnacentral:rRNA from 1 species
CCAGAGAACUUAGCAGAGAUGCUUUGGUGCCUUCGGGAACUCUGAGACAGGUGCUGCAUGGCUGUCGUCAGCUCGUGUUGUGAAAUGUUGGGUUAAGUCCCGCAACGAGCGCAACCCUUAUCCUUUGUUGCCAGCGGUCCGGCCGGGAACUCAAAGGAGACUGCCAGUGAUAAACUGGAGGAAGGUGGGGAUGACGUCAAGUCAUCAUGGCCCUUACGAGUAGGGCUACACACGUGCUACAAUGGCGCAUACAAAGAGAAGCGACCUCGCGAGAGCAAGCGGACCUCAUAAAGUGCGUCGUAGUCCGGAUUGGAGUCUGCAACUCGACUCCAUGAAGUCGGAAUCGCUAGUAAUCGUAGACCAGAAUGCUACGGUGAAUACGUUCCCGGGCCUUGUACACACCGCCCGUCACACCAUGGGAGUGGGUUGACAAAAGAAGUAGGUAGCUUAACCUUCGGGAGGGCGCUUACCUACUUUGUGAUUCAUGACUGGGGUGAAGUCGUAACAAGGUAAGCGUAGCGAG